rnacentral:rRNA from 1 species
CGCGUAGGUGGUAGUGUAAGUCUGGGGUGGAAUCCCAGGGCUUAACCCUGGAACUGCCUUGGAAACUGCAUUACUUGAGUCAGUGAGGGGAGGGUAGAAUUCCUGGUGUAGCGGUGAAAUGCGUAGAUAUCAGGAGGAAGGCCUGUGGCGAAGGCGGCCCUCUGGCGCUGAACUGACACUGAGGCGCGAAAGCGUGGGGAGCAAACAGGAUUAGAUACCCUGGUAGUCCACGCCCUAAACGGUGGGCACUAGGUGUAGGGCUCGUAAGGGUUCUGUGCCGAAGGGAAACCAUUAAGUGCCCCGCUGGGGAUACGGCCGCAAGGUUGAAA